rnacentral:rRNA from 1 species
UGAGGAAUAUUGCGCAAUGGAGGCAACUCUGACGCAGCCAUGCCGCGUGCAGGAAGAAGGCGCUACGCGUUGUAAACUGCUUUUAACCGGGAAGAAACCCCAGGACGUGUCCUGGGUUGACGGUACCGGAGGAAUAAGCACCGGCUAACUUCGUGCCAGCAGCCGCGGUAAUACGAAGGGUGCAAGCGUUAUCCGGAUUCAUUGGGUUUAAAGGGUGCGUAGGCGGAGCGUUAAGUCAGUGGUGAAAUCCUGCAGCUUAACUGUAGACUUGCCAUUGAUACUGGCGCUCUUGAGUGCGCUUGAAGUAGGCGGAAUGUGCCGUGUAGCGGUGAAAUGCUUAGAUAUGGCACAGAACACCAAUUGCGAAGGCAGCUUACUAAGGCGAUACUGACGCUGAGGCACGAAAGCGUGGGGAGCGAACAGG